rnacentral:rRNA from 1 species
GACGAACGCUGGCGGCGUGCUUAACACAUGCAAGUCGAACGGGUCUGCCCUGUUUUUUGCGGGGUGGGUCAGUGGCGAACGGGUGAGUAACACGUGAGUAACCUGCCCCUCACUUCUGGAUAACCGCUUGAAAGGGUGGCUAAUACGGGGUGUUCUGGCUGUGCCGCAUGGUGUGGCUGGGAAAGAUUCACUUUUGUGGUGUUUUGGUGGGGGAUGGGCUCGCGGCCUAUCAGCUUGUUGGUGGGGUGAUGGCCUGCCAAGGCUUUGACGGGUAGCCGGCCUGGGAGGGUGGGCGGUCACACUGGGACUGGGAGACGGCCCAGACUCCGGCGGGAGGCAGCAGUGGGGGGUAUUGCACAAUGGGCGGAAGCCUGAUGCAGCGACGUCGCGUGAGGGAUGGAGGCCUUCGGGUUGUGAACCUCUUUCGCCGGUGAAGAAGGUCCUGCUCUUUGUGGGGGGGUUGACGGUAGCCGGGUUAUGAAGCGCCGGCUAACUACGUG